rnacentral:rRNA from 1 species
GCUUGUCUCAAAGAUUAAGCCAUGCAUGUCUAAGUAUAAAUGGUAUACAGUGAAACUGCGAAUGGCUCAUUAAAACAGUUAUAGUUUAUUUGGUAAUCGAAUUUACAUGGAUAACCGUGGUAAUUCUAGAGCUAAUACAUGCUGUAAAGCCCGACUUUUCGGAAGGGCCGUAUUUAUUAGAUAACAGACCAAUAUUCCUUGUGUCUAUUGCGAUGAUUCAUAAUAACUGAUCGAAUCUCAAAUUUGAGAUAAAUCAUUCAAGUUUCUGCCCUAUCAGCUUUCGAUGGUAGUGUAUUGGACUACCAUGGCAGUAACGGGUAACGAAGAAUUAGGGUUCGAUUUCGGAGAGGGAGCAUGAGAAACGGCUACCACAUCUAAGGAAGGCAGCAGG